AUUGAACGCUGGCGACAUGCCUAACACAUGCAAGUCGAACGAGUGGCGGACGGGUGAGUAAUUUCUGGGAAACUGCCUCAUGGAGGGGGCUAACUACUGGAACCGGUAGCUAAUACCGCAUACCAUCGGAUGUGCCCAGAUGGGAUUAGCUAUUCGGUGGGGUAAAGGCUCACCUAAGCGACGAUCCCUAGCUGGUCUGAGAGGAGGACCAGCCACACUGGAGCGGAGCCACGGGCCAGACGCCUACGGGAGGCAGCAGUGGGGAAUAUUUGACAAUGGGCGAAAGCCUGAUGCAGCCAUGCCGCGUGUAUGAAGAAGGCCUUCGGGUUGUAAAGUACUUUCAGCGGGGAGGCGUUACCCGCAGAAGAAGCACCGGCUAACUCCGUGCCAGCAGCCGCGGUAAUUC
rnacentral:rRNA from 1 species